GACGAACGCUGGCGGCGUGCUUAACACAUGCAAGUCGAACGAAGAGCGAUGGAAGCUUGCUUCUAUCAAUCUUAGUGGCGAACGGGUGAGUAACGCGUAAUCAACCUGCCCUUCAGAGGGGGACAACAGUUGGAAACGACUGCUAAUACCGCAUACGAUCCAAUCUCGGCAUCGGGACUGGAUGAAAGGUGGCCUCUAUUUAUAAGCUAUCACUGAAGGAGGGGAUUGCGUCUGAUUAGCUAGUUGGAGGGGUAACGGCCCACCAAGGCGAUGAUCAGUAGCCGGUCUGAGAGGAUGAACGGCCACAUUGAGACUGAGACACGGCCCAGACUCCUACGGGAGGCAGCAGUGGGGAAUCUUCCGCAAUGGACGAAAGUCUGACGGAGCAACGCCGCGUGAGUGAUGACGGCCUUCGGGUUGUAAAGCUCUGUUAAUCGGGACGAAUGGUUCUUGUGCGAAUAGUGCGAGGAUUUGACGGUACCGGAAGAGAAAGCCACGGCUAACUACGUG
rnacentral:rRNA from 1 species